rnacentral:tRNA from 1 species
GUGGGUGUAGCUCAGCGGUUAGAGCGCCGGGUUGUGGCCCCGGAGGCCGGGGGUUCAAAUCCCCUCACUCACC